rnacentral:rRNA from 1 species
AUAAGCCAGCUUGACUGCGAGCGUGACGGCGCGAGCAGGUGCGAAAGCAGGUCAUAGUGAUCCGGUGGUUCUGAAUGGAAGGGCCAUCGCUCAACGGAUAAAAGGUACUCCGGGGAUAACAGGCUGAUACCGCCCAAGAGUUCAUAUCGACGGCGGUGUUUGGCACCUCGAUGUCGGCUCAUCACAUCCUGGGGCUGAAGUAGGUCCCAAGGGUAUGGCUGUUCGCCAUUUAAAGUGGUACGCGAGCUGGGUUUAGAACGUCGUGAGACAGUUCGGUCCCUAUCUGCCGUGGGCGCUGGAGAAUUGAGGGGGGCUGCUCCUAGUACGAGAGGACCGGAGUGGACGCAUCACUGGUGUUCGGGUUGUCAUGCCAAUGGCACUGCCCGGUAGCUAAAUGCGGAAGAGAUAAGUGCUGAAAGCAUCUAAGCACGAAACUUGCCCC